ACAAAUUCGAGUGGACUAGACAGCAAUUUUGCCAAUGGGCAUCUGAGCUAGCUUUAAGGCAUAAUUAUGAUGUUGAGUUCAGUGGAGUUGGCGGAGAGCCUAACAAAGAACCGGGAUUUGCCUCCCAAAUAGUUGUCUUUAGAAGAAAAGAUGGCAGUCGAACGAAUGCAGACUAUACUAAACACUUUGAUGUUAUUUGGGAAUGGAGUAGCAGCAGUAGUUCAAGAUCUUAACUGUAGAUGCUCUCUAACAAACUCAUUUUUUGGUUAGUCAUGUCUAUUUAGGAUUUGCCUCCCAAAUUGCUGUCUUUAGAAGAAAAGAUGGCAGUCCCGCGAAUGCAGACUUUGCUAAACAGUUUGAUGUUAUUUGGGAAUGGAGUAGCAGCAGUAAUUCAAGAUCUUAACUGUAGAUGCUUUCUAACAAACUCAUUUUUUGCUGCAUCUUAACUGCAGAUGCUCUCUAACAAACUCAUUUUUUGGUUAGUCAUGUUAAUUUCAGAAGUUAUAGAAGAUUUGUUCAUGAUUUCUUUUGCUUAUACUAAGUGCUGACUGUUCUAGUAAAUCAUACUUAGCAUACCUUACCUAAAUGCGCAGAAAUAUCUGCCUACUAGGUGCAAAAUGAUACUAGUUGUUUGAAGAAGAAAAACACGGUACUCCUAACUCAUGGCUUAAAAUUUAUGCUUGAGCUUUAGUUUUGUUCGGUUUUCCUUUCACCUUC
rnacentral:lncRNA from 1 species